rnacentral:tRNA from 1 species
CUCUCCGUAGCUCAGUGGUUAGAGCAUCCGGCCGGUAUAUGGAAGGUCAUGGGUUCGAAUCCCGUUAGGGACU